rnacentral:lncRNA from 1 species
GCCAUGAGUCCCUCAUGGCCAUUUCACACGUUUGGAUAGUCAGGCCGGAAACCAGGAGUUGUUUCUUUUCUGCUCCACGGGAUCUGAAAAAUGGGAUCAGUAUUCCUGCCUCCCAGGACAGAUGCGAGGAUUCUGUGGGACUCUGCAUAUGUGUGCUCACCAAAGGCAAGCUCAUUAUUGGUGUCAACGUGGUUAAUAUUGCACCUGUGCAGCAUG